UCGAACGAUGAAGCCCAGCUUGCUGGGUGGAUUAGUGGCGAACGGGUGAGUAACACGUGAGUAACCUGCCCUUAACUCUGGGAUAAGCCUGGGAAACUGGGUCUAAUACCGGAUAGGAGCGUCCACCGCAUGGUGGGUGUUGGAAAGAUUUAUCGGUUUUGGAUGGACUCGCGGCCUAUCAGCUUGUUGGUGAGGUAAUGGCUCACCAAGGCGACGACGGGUAGCCGGCCUGAGAGGGUGACCGGCCACACUGGGACUGAGACACGGCCCAGACUCCUACGGGAGGCAGCAGUGGGGAAUAUUGCACAAUGGGCGNAAGCCUGAUGCAGCGACGCCGCGUGAGGGAUGACGGCCUUCGGGUUGUAAACCUCUUUCAGUAGGGAAGAAGCGAAAGUGACGGUACCUGCAGAAGAAGCACCGGCUAACUACGUGCCAGCAGCCGCGGUAAUACGUAGGGUGCGAGCGUUAUCCGGAAUUAUUGGGCGUAAAGAGCUCGUAGGCGGUUUGUCGCGUCUGUCGUGAAAGUCCGGGGCUUAACCCCGGAUCUGCGGUGGGUACGGGCAGACUAGAGUGCAGUAGGGGAGACUGGAAUUCCUGGUGUAGCGGUGGAAUGCGCAGAUAUCAGGAGGAACACCGAUGGCGAAGGCAGGUCUCUGGGCUGUAACUGACGCUGAGGAGCGAAAGCAUGGGGAGCGAACAGGAUUAGAUACCCUGGUAGUCCAUGCCGUAAACGUUGGGCACUAGGUGUGGGGACCAUUCCACGGUUUCCGNGCCGCAGCUAACGCAUUAAGUGCCCCGCCUGGGGAGUACGGCCGCAAGGCUAAAACUCAAAGGAAUUGACGGGGCCCCGCACAAGCGGCGGAGCAUGCGGAUUAAUNCGAUGCAACGCGAAAANCUUACAAGGCUNGACAUGUNCUCGAUCGCCGUANANAUACGGUUUCCC
rnacentral:rRNA from 1 species